GAUGAACGCUGGCGGCGUGCCUAAUACAUGCAAGUCGAGCGAACAGACGAGGAGCUUGCUCCUCUGACGUUAGCGGCGGACGGGUGAGUAACACGUGGAUAACCUACCUAUAAGACUGGGAUAACUUCGGGAAACCGGAGCUAAUACCGGAUAAUAUAUUGAACUGCAUGGUUCAAUAGUGAAAGACGGUUUUGCUGUCACUUAUCGCUGGAUCCGCGACGCAUUAGCUAGUUGGUAAGGUAACGGCUUACCACGGCGACGAUGCGUAGCCGACCUGAGAGGGUGAUCGGCCACACUGGAACGAGGACACGGUCCAGACUCCUACGGGAGGCAGCAGUAGGGAAUCUUCCGCAAUGGGCGAAAGCCUGACGGAGCAACGCCGCGUGAGGGAUGAGGGUCUUCGGAUCGUAAAACUCGGUGAUUAGGGAAGAACAAAUGUGUAAGUAACUAUGCACGUCUUGACGGUACCUAAUCAGAAAGCCACGGCUAACUACGUG
rnacentral:rRNA from 1 species